rnacentral:rRNA from 1 species
CAGUCGCCACGGUAAUACGAAGGGUGCAAGCGUUAAUCGGAAUUACUGGGCGUAAAGCGUGCGUAGGCGGUUUCGUAAGACAGAUGUGAAAUCCCCGGGCUUAACCUGGGAACUGCAUUUGUGACUGCGAGGCUAGAGUGUGUCAGAGGGGGGUGGAAUUCCACGCGAAGCAGUGAAAUGCGUAGAUAUGUGGAGGAACACCGAUGGCGAAGGCAGCCCCCUGGGAUAACACUGACGCUCAUGCACGAAAGCGUGGGGAGCAAACAGGAUUAGAUACCCCAGUAGUCCCUGUCUCUUAUAC